rnacentral:rRNA from 1 species
AAUGAACGCUGGCGGCGUGCCUAACACAUGCAAGUUGAGCGGUAAGGCCCCUUCGGGGGUACACGAGCAGCGAACGGGUGAGUAUCGCGUGGGUAAUCUACCUAGAGUGGGGGAUAGCCUCGGGAAACCGAGGGUAAUACCGCAUGAGUCCUCGACGGCAUAAGUCGACGAGGGGAAAGCGGGGCUCCUUCGGGACCUGUCGCCUCUGGAUGAGCCCGCGUCCGAUUAGCUAGUUGGUGGGGUAAUGGCCUACCAAGGCAACGAUCGGUAGCCGGCCUGAGAGGGUGAACGGCCACAUUGGGACUGAGACACGGCCCAGACUCCUACGGGAGGCAGCAGUGGGGAAUUUUGGGCAAUGGGGGAAACCCUGACCCAGCGACGCCGCGUGGAGGAUGACGGCCUUCGGGUUGUAAACUCCUGUCAGGUGGGAAAGAAGAGCUUGUCGGUUAAUACCCGGCAGGAAUUGACGGUACCACCAAAGGAAGCCCCGGCUAACUCCGUG